rnacentral:rRNA from 1 species
CUGACGACCGGCGCACGGGUGAGUAACGCGUACGCAACCUACCUCUAAGAGGGGGAUAGCCCUGGGAAACUGGGAUUAAUACCCCAUGGUCCGUAUGAUCCGCAUGGUGAAUACGGUAAAGCUUAGGUGUUUAGAGAUGGGCGUGCGUCUGAUUAGCUAGUUGGUGAGGUAACGGCUCACCAAGGCUACGAUCAGUAGGGGGCGUGAGAGCGUGGCCCCCCACACGGGUACUGAGACACGGACCCG